rnacentral:ncRNA from 1 species
UGUUGCAAAGUUAAAAACAUAGUCUGGUUGGUAGUCCAGACGCAGCCACUGGGCUGUCAGUAUCCUUCCUCCUGGAUGUCCUUAUUUUGCGAAUCGAAA